GCUGAGGUAUUAUAGAGCUCGGCAUGGCAAUGAAGAAUUGGCAGAUACUCGUGAGAGUACCCCAGUUCCUAACAAGCAAGCAGUGGAUGAGGCAGUGGUCAAUAUGAUCAUCAAAGACUGUCAGCCACUCAGCUUUGUUGAAAAUGAGGGAUUCAGGGAGCUCCUGAAGCUUAUUGUACCCUCGUAUGCUCUACCCAGCAGGAAGACCAUCAAGGACUUGGUGAGCCAGAGAUAUGAGGAGGAAAAGGAGAAAACCAAAAAGGACCUCCAGAGUGCUGUUGCUGUUACUUUAACAGCUGAUAUGUGGACGUCCAUGAAUAUGGAGGCAUAUCUAGCUGUUACUGGCCACUAUGUGGACAAAGAAAGCCAUGAACUCCAUUCAUCAGUCUUGGCAGUGCAGCAUUUUCCUCAGAAACACACUGCAGAAAACAUUGCCACGGUGAAAAAGGAGCCUCAUGGAGGAGUGGGGCAUAGCAGGAAAGGUCAGGUGUCUUGUCACUGAUGCAGCAGCAAACAUGACUGCAUGUGCUCGAAUGCUGCAAAUACGGCAUCUGGGUCGAAGGUCAUUCCCAUGAUGAGAAUGCUCCACAUUGAGCUUCAACGUCAGGCCACAACAGUGACACAAACAGCUGCUCAGCAACUGGCUGAAAACCUGAGGAAGCGGCUAACUGACGCUAUUUGCGGCAUAGAAUCUCUCAGUGUGAUGACUCUGGCAACUCUGUUAGAUCCCAGAUUUAAAAAGAAUGGAUUUCUUAGUCAGCAAAAAGGCAAGUGAAGCGGUGAAGAGACUGCAGUCAGAAUGUGCAGAAGAAAUGAGGAGCCAAGAGCCUGACCCAAGAGAAGAAGAGCCUAGCUCUUCACAUGGGUCAGAACCCAGUUCAGGGCACAAUCUCUGGAAGACUUUAGAUAUGGAGGUUGCAGAAACCCAGACGACGAGGAACGCAACAGCUGACUCCAUUAUUGAAGUCCAACACUACCUGGCAGAAACAAACACACCCAGAAACCAAGAUCCUUUGCAAUAUUGGAAAUGGAACCAGAACGUAUACCCACAUCUUCAUCAACUUGCACUUAAAACUCUCUGCUCACCAUCAUCAUCUGUACCAUGCGAAAGAGUUUUUUCCAUGGCUGGGGAGCUGGUGUGUAAGAGGAGAAAUCGCCUUGGAGCAAAGA